UACGUAGGGUGCGAGCGUUAAUCGGAAUUACUGGGCGUAAAGCGUGCGCAGGCGGUUUUGUAAGACAGAUGUGAAAUCCCCGGGCUUAACCUGGGAACUGCAUUUGUGACUGUAAGACUAGAGUGUGGCAGAGGGGGGUAGAAUUCCACGUGUAGCAGUGAAAUGCGUAGAUAUGUGGAGGAAUACCGGUGGCGAAGGCGGCCCCCUGGGUCGACACUGACACUCAUGCCCGAAAGCGUGGGGAGCAAACAGG
rnacentral:rRNA from 1 species